rnacentral:rRNA from 1 species
CGGUGGAUGAUGUGGAUUAAUUCGAUGCAACGCGUAAAACCUUACCUACCCUUGACAUGUCCGGAAUCCCGAAGAGAUUUGGGAGUGCUCGCAAGAGAGCCGGAACACAGGUGCUGCAUGGCUGUCGUCAGCUCGUGUCGUGAGAUGUUGGGUUAAGUCCCGCAACGAGCGCAACCCUUGUCAUUAGUUGCCAUCAUUUGGUUGGGCACUCUAAUGAGACUGCCGGUGACAAACCGGAGGAAGGUGGGGAUGACGUCAAGUCCUCAUGGCCCUUAUGGGUAGGGCUUCACACGUCAUACAAUGGUCGGUACAGAGGGUUGCCAACCCGCGAGGGGGAGCUAAUCCCACAAAGCCGAUCGUAGUCCGGAUCGCAGUCUGCAACUCGACUGCGUGAAGUCGGAAUCGCUAGUAAUCGUGGAUCAGCAUGUCACGGUGAAUACGUUCCCGGGUCUU